CCUACGGGUGGCAGCAGUAGGGAAUAUUGCUCAAUGGGGGAAACCCUGAAGCAGCAACGCAGCGUGGAGGAUGAAGGUUUUCGGAUUGUAAACUCCUUUUGUUAGAGAAGAUAAUGACGGUAUCUAACGAAUAAGCACCGGCUAACUCCGUGCCAGCAGCCGCGGUAAUACGGAGGGUGCAAGCGUUACUCGGAAUCACUGGGCGUAAAGAGCGCGUAGGCGGGAUAGCAAGUCAGAUGUGAAAUCCUAGGGCUUAACCAUAGAACUGCAUUGGAAACUGUUAUUCUAGAGUAUGGGAGAGGUAGGUGGAAUUCUUGGUGUAGGGGUAAAAUCCGUAGAGAUCAAGAGGAAUCCUCAUUGCGAAGGCGACCUGCUAGAUCAUAACUGACGCGGAUGCGCGAAAGCGUGGGGAGCAAACAGGAUUAGAUACCCUGUAGUC
rnacentral:rRNA from 1 species